UACGUAGGGUGCGAGCGUUGUCCGGAAUUAUUGGGCGUAAAGAGCUCGUAGGCGGUCUGUCGCGUCGGUCGUGAAAACUUGGGGCUUAACCCUGAGCUUGCGGUCGAUACGGGCAUGACUGGAGUUCGGUAGGGGAGACUGGAAUUCCUGGUGUAGCGGUGAAAUGCGCAGAUAUCAGGAGGAACACCGGUGGCGAAGGCGGGUCUCUGGGCAGUAACUGACGCUGAGGAGCGAAAGCGUGGGGAGCAAACAGG
rnacentral:rRNA from 1 species